ensembl:lncRNA
CUACACCAUAACAUUUCCAUUCCAGUCAAGCAAUGUACAGACGAAGGGAAACAAUACGACAAUAAACAAACUUCUUUUAACCGUCCGCAUUUUGUGGUUUAAUGCAAAAUAAACUACACGGAUUCUUAAAGCAAACAAUCCCGCGACGUUUACAACCAACCCUGCGUGUGUAUACAACGUCUCGUCGCCGUGGAAACGCCGUUCCCGCACGUCUGACGCAAGGACGUCACGACGAUUGGUACUUUUUUUGUUUUUGCUGCCUAGCAACCGGUUUCCGUGGUAACCCUUAAAGGGGCGGCACAGUGGUUUAAUGUUGUCUGUGAGGUUUCACAGACGAGGGAAAGUGCGCUUCCAUGUUUGCAUUCUUUAGACUUUUACGAGCUCUUCAGAGGCGAGUAUUUCGGUUUUUAACAUUUAGACCACACAAAGACUUACUUUAGUUGCCAUUUAUUUUUGCAGCAAGUCCCAUUAGCCAUGUAGCCAGUGUGCUAAUCGUCCCGUUUAACUGUGCAACGUUGCAAACGAAUGGUAGCUGUCAUCGUGCUAAAACAGUAACGUUAAAUUACAGAUCUGCACUGUAUCAUAAUCAUGUUCGCACGCUCGAUUAUAGAGACAAACAUCUCGAGAAGUGUAUAAUCUGUCGGAGAGUUAGUCUGCAGUAGUCUCCUGCAGUCUUGUGAGCCAAGACAGGCUGCUAGAGAAGAAUAAAACAGUUUCACAAUCGGAAGUCGUACUUUCUUUAUCUUUUACGCUUCUGAUGCCAACUAGUUUGACUGUUUCUGUUAAGUAAUUUUGGGUUUGCAUAAAGACCAACGGCUGUGGCUAGUUUGUUGAAGUAACUUUAACUUUAUCAUGUGGUGAAUUUAGGCGUCUUUGUUUUAAAGUCGUUGAUGUUGUAUAAAACAACAACCCACCCAUAACAAACCAGUUAUAAAACUAUAAGACUAAAGAUAUAUACAAAGUCCAUUUAGUGUUUAUUGUACAGUAUUAUCUACAUGAUAACUAGGUAUCUACAAUCAACAUAAAAUAGUGAUGUCAGUUUAUUGCAAUUAAUUAGGAAAUUAAAGAAAAAAAAUCAAUUAAUCAUGCCCUUUGACCCUGUAUGUAAAUUCCAUAAUAAUACAUUAAAGCAAUUAAAGCUUGAAGCAGGUUAUGGUAAGUCACAUAAGUACAAGUAAUAAGUAUAAGGACCAUGCUUUGAAAUGACUGAUUUAAGAGAUGCAGUUUGUGCUGUGACUGGAGUUUGUGUGGUACUGGCAGAACAAUGAAUAGGAAAAUAUGUUUAUUUGCAUUUCAGUUCAAAUUGCCCAUUUUGGCUCCUGGCUUUUGGUUGUUUCAGUGCAUUCAUUUGGCUUUAUGCAAAAAUAAAGCUUUAAACCAUUUUCCUGUUUUGGCACUACUUCAGAGCCAUAUUGUUUGCUUUGGUUUGUUUGUUUUCUUGGAUUAACCCUUGCCAUCUUGCGCCAAAAAAAAGUUCCAUAAUGCUGGGGAGCGCUGUAUGUUUUGUUUACCCGACGCGUUCUGUUUUCGUCUCUCUGGUCUUUGUACAGUUUGAACUCCUGCAGCAAUCACGAGAGUGUCUUGUUUCCUGGGGAGGCGGGACAUGUUUGCCUGGUUCCCUGCCCAAAAUAUUUGUAACCAGGCAACAGCUAGGCCCAUCCCACAAUAGGUCUGUGCUGUUGACACCCCUAUUGGCACCCCCUUGCCGUUGCAUAACCUCUUUCUCUAACUUCCCAGCACCACAAAUCAAAAUUAGGAGUUUCAUAAACGUCUGCACGUUCUCAAUGUGAAGUUGAAUCGUAUUGCUUCUGUUUUAUUGUCCUGGACCUUCACUGCAUGAACUUCGUAGAGUUUACUCUUUGGGCUUGGACUGCCAUGUUUGCACAGACGCAUGGAGUUGCAAAGAGCCGGAACAUCUUCAGUUGAACUGAAAGUGACUGUCUGCUGCUGUAACCUCCAUUAACACGGGGGUUUGUUUACACAGACUUUGGCUACCCGGCAGACAUUUUAGUUGCUGAAAAAAACAAUACUUGCUUUAUAAAGGAAACUCUCAGUCGUGUCUGGAAACAUCUGGAGGGGCAGACAGCAUGAGGUCAUUGCUCUACCUCCCCUGCGCUCUCAUUGUCCGGGUUCGCCACGCGUGUACGUCUGUCUGCGCUGAAAGAAUGCGAGAGAGAAAAGCUGUGGAAUUUACAUUUUUGUAGAAAACAGAGUCUUGUGAUUGGCUCCCCUGCAUCUGCGUUCGUUUUCCUGAUAACUUGUUUAGAGAAACUGGAUUUCAACUUGCCGCUUUAACAAAUCUCAUGUGGCUGAAGGCACAAAUGGAAGAAAAACCGAGGAACAAACUCAGGAUCUAAUUUUUGAAAUAUUGGC